rnacentral:snRNA from 1 species
GGAUGUGGGGGCGAUGUGGCUGUGACAUUUCUCACCCCACUGAUCUCCAGGGUUGACUCAGCUGAUCUGGCUGGCUAGGCGGGUGGCCCCCUUCCCCCUCCUGUGCAGCCCUCAGGAAGCCGUAGGCUCAAGGAUCCACCACCCUCAGUGGAUCUCCUCAUAUUAUCUCAAGU